rnacentral:rRNA from 1 species
AGAGUUUGAUCAGUCGGCUCAGGACGAACGCUGGCGGCGUGCUUAACACAUGCAAGUCGAGCGGAAAGGCCCUUUCGGGGGUACUCGAGCGGCGAACGGGUGAGUAACACGUGAGUAAUCUGCCCUUGGCUUUGGGAUAACUACCGGAAACGGUGGCUAAUACCGGAUAUGACCAUGCUCGGCAUCGGGUGUGGUGGAAAGUUUUUUCGGCCAGGGAUGUGCUCGCGGCCUAUCAGCUUGUUGGUGGGGUAAUGGCCUACCAAGGCUUCGACGGGUAGCCGGCCUGAGAGGGUGACCGGCCACACUGGGACUGAGACACGGCCCAGACUCCUACGGGAGGCAGCAGUGGGGAAUAUUGGACAAUGGGCGGAAGCCUGAUCCAGCAACGCCGCGUGAGGGAUGACGGCCUUCGGGUUGUAAACCUCUUUCAGUACCGACGAAGCGCCGAUGAUGGUGGUGACGGUAGGUACAGAAGAAGCACCGGCCAACUACGUG